GACGAACGCUGGCGGCGUGCCUAAUACAUGCAAGUUGAGCGCUGAAGGUUGGUACUUGUACCAACUGGAUGAGCAGCGAACGGGUGAGUAACGCGUGGGGAAUCUGCCUUUGAGCGGGGGACAACAUUUGGAAACGAAUGCUAAUACCGCAUAAAAACUUUAAACACAAGUUUUAAGUUUGAAAGAUGCAAUUGCAUCACUCAAAGAUGAUCCCGCGUUGUAUUAGCUAGUUGGUGAGGUAAAGGCUCACCAAGGCGAUGAUACAUAGCCGACCUGAGAGGGUGAUCGGCCACAUUGGGACUGAGACACGGCCCAAACUCCUACGGGAGGCAGCAGUAGGGAAUCUUCGGCAAUGGACGAAAGUCUGACCGAGCAACGCCGCGUGAGUGAAGAAGGUUUUCGGAUCGUAAUACUCUGUUGGUAGAGAAGAACGUUGGUGAGAGUGGAAAGCUCAUCAAGUGACGGUAACUACCCAGAAAGGGACGGCUAACUACGUG
rnacentral:rRNA from 1 species